CACAAGAUCUGAUGGUGUUAUAAUCACCUGCUUCCUCUUUUGCUUGGCUCUCUUUCUCUCUCUCGCCUGCUGUGAUGUAAGACAUACCUUUCACCUUCUGCCAUGAUUGUGAAGCUUCCUCAGCCAUAUGGAACUGGAACCUGAUGGAAUAAACUGCUGUGAGAGGGAGUAUUGAAAGAGCCAUUUCCUCAUCAUAAAGAUGCAGUAGCCAUAAUUAUUCCAAUCAUCCAAAAGAGAAGACUUUAAAGUACAGUAGUUAGCCAUCAAAAAGAGAAGGCUAAUAUCCAGUUAUGAGAGCAUUUUCCCAAGAUACUUCUCCCCUGGACCUUGUUCCCAGGCUCCGUGUGAAGCUGAACACUCCGCAUGAUCUCCCUGCCACCAUAGCAAGCUAUGAAGUUCAUUACACAUGCAGGUAGCAGACAAUACAGCUCUGCUUCCAUUUCUGAGCACCUACGGUAGACUGCCAUUAUUCAGUGUGCCAGCCUGUUUCCAAGCCUACAAUGUAUAGUUCCUCUAGUACGUAAACUCAUUUUUUUUCUCAGAGAGCCAAGUAGAGACACAGGCAGUUUUCUUCUCAAAAUGUGCCAGAAAUUCCAAAACAAUCUCAAAGCAUUAAAGGCUAUGUGCACAAAGUACAUGCAGUUGUAGAGUCCCUCUUUUGCAGAAACUUGCACCUCAG
rnacentral:lncRNA from 1 species